AACGGUAAUUAAUGAAUGAAUAAAAACAUAAUAAUUGGGUAUAAAGUACGGUAUUAAAGUGCAUCGUGACUGUGUGCGUGAAGAAAGCAAAUGAAAAAGCUACUCAUUCGCCCACGAUCACAAAACCCUCUCAUACCCAAAGGAUUUUGAUGACGCCACCGAAUGAAGCGACGCGUGUCCAAAUUUUCUUAUUUGGUACCAAACACCACGUUAGCGCAGUGUACUAGAAUGCAAAUGAAAUAAAACAAAGGACAAUAGCUGUGCCUGUUCGGCGUUGGCUGUGCAACAAUAUUACAAGUUACAACCUUAUCCUCCUAAUCCGCUCACUAACGUGAUACAUGUGGAAUACUUCCUCUUCACACAAUGUCAGAUUUGUCUGCGCCAUGCCAAGUUUUUCCUUCUUUUUUUUUUACUUUCUUUUUUCGUUCAUCGAUCAGUUCAUAUGAUCCAUCUAUCUUCUCAUCAAACCUUUUUGUUUUUGGCUACAAGCUCCCAACCCAACACAUUCUUAGACACACUCUUUUCUGUUGAGAAACAACGUUUAGUUUAUUCUUGUUUUAUUGUUGCUCUUGUGUUUCUCGAAUGCUCCAAAAAAAUAUUAAAAAAAAAAUUAAAUACAAUUAAUUGAAUACAAUUUUUUUAAAAUUCUAUGUAAAACAAAUUAAACUUACUAAAAGGUGAUGAUUGAUGUUAAAAAUCACUUUUUAACAUUUCAAAACAUUUUACGCACAAUUUCCAAAAAUAAAUCUUUCGUUGUUUGUUAAUGUUUUCUUUUACUAAAUUAUCUUAUUUUUAAUGUUAAAUAUUUAUUUAUUAAUACUAAAUAUUUUAAAUUAAAAAAAAAUUUAAAUGGAUUCACC
rnacentral:lncRNA from 1 species